GUCUACGGCCAUACCACCCUGAAUGCGCCCGAUCUCGUCUGAUCUCGGAAGAAGGGAUAGUGAAGCACUCGGGAGCUAGCAAUGGCACCCCUGGGUCUGUAGGGG
ensembl:rRNA 5S_rRNA 5S ribosomal RNA